CAAACGCGAAAAACCUUACCUACCCCUUGACAUUUCUGGAAUCCUGAAGAGAUUCAGGAGUGCUCGCAAGAGAACCGGAACACAGGUGCUGCAUGGCUGUCGUCAGCUCGUGUCGUGAGAUGUUGGGUUAAGUCCCGCAACGAGCGCAACCCUUGUCAUUAGUUGCUACGAAAGGGCACUCUAAUGAGACUGCCGGUGACAGACCGGAGGAAGGUGGGGAUGACGUCAAGUCCUCAUGGCCCUUAUGGGUAGGGCUUCACACGUCAUACAAUGGCUGGUACAGAGGGUUGCCAACCCGCGAGGGGGAGCUAAUCCCAUAAAGCCAGUCGUAGUCCGGAUCGCAGUCUGCAACUCGACUGCGUGAAGUCGGAAUCGCUAGUAAUCGCGGAUCAGAAUGUCGCGGUGAAUACGUUCCCGGGUCUUGUACACACCGCCCGUCACACCAUGGGAGCGGGUUCUGCCAGAAGUAGGUAGCCUAACCGUAAGGAGGGCGCUAGCACUC
rnacentral:rRNA from 1 species